rnacentral:misc_RNA from 1 species
AAAGAGCUUGAGUGAAUAUUUCCAUCGUAAAAUGGCUUCUGGUUCAGAAAAUCAAGGGAACACGUCUUUUGACGGAGAACAGUUGCGUCAGGAGCUGUAUGACAAAGGUUACGCAGUUGUCCCUGACCUUUUGACCCUGAAGGAAUGCGACGCGCUGACGUCACAGUUCAGGGACUGGGUAGGCAAGUUUGAAGAGGGCCAGAUUCCCCUCCAAAAGAAGAGCUCUGUCAUACAAUCUUACAGAGUCGGUCAUUUUCAACAGAGCUGGGAGGUGCGUCUAAGGGCCAAGGCUGUUUUCCAAGCAGUGUGGGGAACGGAGAAACUGCUCUCUAGUGUUGACGGAAUAGCCAUCUCCAAACCACCUCUAAAUGGUACACAGAAAUAAUCUCUUUAAAUUUUAUAAUAAAUCACUUGUAUUCUCUAAUUCUUUUGAGUUUUGAUAUGGUUUUUGUUUUGGUGUGCAUUAUUCUACCAAAUUUUUAACUUGCUUUAGUAAUAUUUUGGAUGCAAAUGAAAGUCAAAUACAUAUACAUACAUGUAAUUAUAGCAAUUUACAAAUCAUAGCGUCCCGUCUCAAAACAAUAGAAAGAUUUGACAACAUUUAUUCUAUGUUUCAAAUACACCGCUGAAUAUUUCUGUCCUGAUAAGAUAUCUAUAAAUUAUUACAGCUGAUGACUAUCGUGACCCACAUACUGACUGGUUACACCUAGACCAAGGGGUGAGACGAGAGGGUCUUCACGCAUACCAAGGGGCCGUCUAUCUGGAGGAGCAGACCCAAGACGAUUAUUGCUUUAGGGUGCUACCAAAGUCACAUUUAUAUCAUGCUGAGUUUUAUCAAACGUUUUCAGAUGCUACAAAGAGAACAGAACGUAGUGAUUUUUGUAAAUUGUCUAAAACACAGAAGGAUUUCUUUUAUCGAAAGGGAUGCAACUUGGUGAAUGUUCCGGUGCCCAAGGGCGGCAUUGUUCUAUGGGACUCUAGGACCGUUCACGACAACACACCUCCGAUCGCAAAAAGAUCGAAUCCCGAUAGAUGGCGCUUCGUCGUCUUUGUCAGUAUGACGCCUGCCAUCUGGGCGAGUGAAAAGGACAUGGAAUUCAAGAAGGACGCCUAUCGGCGAAUGCUUCUCACUACGCAUUGGUCAUCCCAAGGACUUAAAACGUUCAAAGAGUACAUAGAAAAUAAACGGAAGCGGAACUACGUCAACGUCAGCAUCGACCAUUUACCGGACGUAGCUAAGACACAGGAAGCCAGGCUGUUGGCGGGAGACGAACAUUACGACUUCGAGGACGGACGACCGAACGGUCCCGCUGCACCGAAAUGGAGAUUCGGUAUUUAUUAAAUCUUCGGUACCUCUCGGUACCUUUGACAGAGUAAACUCAGGGAUUUUUCUUCCACGUAAACACCGACAUCACUGAGAAUUGUAAGAUAUAUACGAAAUCAUGUUAAACUCCAAUUCAAACAAUUAUUCUUUUCCUAUAGAAUGCAAAAGGAUGAAAGGUGUCUAAAUUAUAGACAGACCUUUGUCUACCCCGAAAUAAUGGUUCAUCUGCAUGUAUAAUGAAUAAACUAAAUUUAAAGUAAAUAUAUUUUAUUCAUAUUUCCGUGGUAUUUGUCUAUGUGCAUGUCGUGAUACCCCCUGGAGAUGAUAGAUAUUGUUCGACUUCAUGAUAGUUUAACUUUGGAAAAUUAUUAUUUGUACAGGCAUGUGUCGUGCCUUUUUUAACCAUUUUUUUUUUGGAGUUGUUUUGUAUUGAGAAAUUUUCAAAGAACAUUAUUUCAUUAUUUCAGGUAAAUACAUGUACAAGUAUACCAGCAU